UUUUUAGUUCUUAAUCCGUAAAUUUUUUUUUUUUUUUUGUUUUCUCCUCUUAAUUGGUGUCUUGUGUAGGUGUUUGUUCGGGGUCAAGAUGUCUGUUUCAAUUCCAUUUGCAAGUUCAAGUUGUCGCGCUCUCGUAAUUGCACUCUCAUCGUUCUUGGUGAUGAACACACUAGUGGAAAAUUUUUCAUUCGUAACAUGCAAUUUGUAACGAGCAAAGCUAUGCUCGUUACAUUAAAUAUAUCCGCAAUGGUCAAAAUUGGAGUCUGUUACAAAUAUAUAAUAUUUGUACCGGGCAAAAUACCGCCCGUUACAAAUACAUAAUAUUCGUAACGGGAAAAAUACUAGCCGUUACAAAUAUAUAAUAUUCGUAACGGGAAAAAUACUAUCCGUUACAAAUAUUAUAUUAUUCGUAACAGGCAUAUUGUGCCCGUUACAGAUAAUUUAGUUCAACUGAUCAUGAGAGGAGCCCAAAGCCCAUAGCCAAUUAGUUAUUUUAUUAGGGUUUCACUCUUAGUCGUCAAAGCUUGUCCUCCCUCUCUUUAUCCUCUCUCCUCUUUCAUUUUCACUCAUCUUUCUCACUCUAUCUCUCUUUCUCUCUCUUUUCCUCACUCUCUCGUUCUUUCCAAAAAAAAAAAAAAAAAAAAUCUAUCAUCUCAACAUCAAGCCGCCGCCGUCGUCAUUGUUGCUCCUUCCACAUACAACACCAUGUUGUUGCUGCUCGUUUAUGCUGGUGAAAAUCGGUGACUUUGGCUUAGCAGCAAUAGUGGGUGAGAGCCAUGUAGCGCACUCAAUACUGGGUACACCAGAGUACAUGGCACCAGAGCUGUAUGAGGAUUUAUAAGAUUAUUCAAGUUCUUAGUCUAAUAUGUAAUAGAACACUUGUUUAAAUUUUCAUGUAGUAUUACAGAGUAUUAUUUAUGUAGUAGCUUUUGACUCAUGUUAGGAAGUUAUUGUAAAGUCAAUUUGGACAUUUGUGAAAGUUGUACUAAUUAAAUUUUACAUUUAUUAUUAUUGAAUA